AAAGGUCGUAACAAGGUUUCCGUAGGUGAACCUGCGGAAGGAUCAUUAAAGAGUUAGGGUUCCUAGUGGCCCAAACCUCCAAACCCUCUGUUGUUAAAAAGCUACCUUGUUGCUUUGGCGGGACCGUUCGGUCUCCGAGCGCGUUAACCCUCGGGUUGGCGAGCGCCCGCCAGAGUCCAAACCAAAGCUCUUGUAUUAAAACCAGUCGUCUGAGUAUAAAAGUUUUAAUUUAAAUUAAAAA
rnacentral:misc_RNA from 1 species